rnacentral:tRNA from 1 species
GGUUCGGUGGCCGAUGGCGGCUGGCCGGCCUCGAACGCGGGCAACUGCCCGGCCCAGGCCGGCGCGGGUUCGGCCACCACCGGGGCCU